rnacentral:rRNA from 1 species
UACAGAGGGUGCAAGCGUUAUCCGGAGUGACUGGGCGUAAAGGGCGUGCAGGCGGUCGGGCGAGUUCGCCGGGAAAGCCUCCGGCUCAACCGGGGGAGGUCGGGGGAGACUGCUCGACUGGAGGGCGGUAGAGGAGCAGGGAAUUCCGGGUGUAGUGGUGAAAUGCGUAGAGAUCCGGAGGAACACCAGUGGCGCAGGCGCUGCUCUGGGCCGCUCCUGACGCUGAGACGCGACAGCAUGGGGAGCGAAC